CCAGACUGGCCCAAGAUAGCUGGCUUUCUUUCUAUCACAAAGGCAACUGCAGGAAACCUUGAAGCUCUUACAGACUCCAGUCUUGAGGCAGCCUUCUGCCGCUCCCCCAUCCUGGUCUUCAGGAAAAUCCCGAAGCCGAUGUCUCCACCAUCUGAUGCAAACUGCCACCUGGAGCAGGUUGAAGGCCACAGGGAAAAGCUUGGGCGCUGAAACACACAGAACCCCGUUGGGAAGCUGGACAAGAGGAAGGGCUGCUGUGAAAAGCCAUAGCCAUGAUCGUUCACUGGGUAGGAGUUGCUCAGAUCUGGAUUCUGCCUUGCCCUACUGUGUGAGCUUUAGUUAAGGGCUUCCGCCUCAGUCUUAGGGCUGUCAAGCCUUAAAGCGAUGGCGUGGUUCUCGGCAAUCAGUAAUGUCCCAUAAUCUAGUUGUAGGGUGUCGGGCACAAGCUGGACACACAGCCAGCCAUGGUAAUUCCUUGAGGACACCCCCUUCCUUUUGGGACUCAAGGUUUUGCUAGGUGAACUAAGAGUUGGGGUGAGAGCAGGUGGGGGAAUCUGCUUUAGAUACCCUGUCCCUCCCCAAGGACACCUGCUCACUCUGAGCAUUUUUUUUUGUGGGCCAGGUUUUGUGCAUAACCUUCUCAUUUAGCAAAUUCUCAUUUGGCUUCCCAACUCUCUCACGGGGGGUGAGUGCCACGGAGUCCCCACCUCACAACAUGGGAAGGCCAAGCCUCAGUGAGAUGAUGAGAGCGUUAGCUAGAUGUGUCAUCUCAAUCUGGGGAAUUCAGGAGGCGAGCAAGAAAACAGCAGCAAACAUUUAGAAACUAACAUGACUGCCACAUACCAGGGCAGGAUUUUGCACGUAGUAUACUAGUUUGAGAAAGAACGGAGUUAAAAACACAAACAAAAACCUUAUGCCCUACAAAAUAUGACUUAGAGAAGUUCUAACUCCUCAGUCUCCCUUCCCCAGGUACC
rnacentral:sRNA from 1 species